GUGCCAGCAGCCGCGGUAAUACGAAGGUUGCAAGCGUUGUUCGGAAUCACUGGGCUUAAAGCGCAUGUAGGCGGCUCAUCAAGUGCUUUGUGAAAUCCCACGGCUCAACCGUGGAAUUGCUUGGCAUACUGUUAGAGCUUGAGGCAGGUAGGGGCGCGUGGAACUCUUGGUGGAGCGGUGGAAUGCGUAGAUAUCAAGAGGAACGCCGGUGGCGAAAGCGGCGCGCUGGGCCUGUCCUGACGCUGAGAUGCGAAAGCCAGGGGAGCAAACGGGAUUAGAUACCCUCGUAGUCC
rnacentral:rRNA from 1 species